GACGAACGCUGGCGGCGUGCCUAAUACAUGCCAGUUGAGCGCUGAAGGUUGGUACUUGUACCAACUGGAUGAGCAGCGAACGGGUGAGUAACGCGUGGGGAAUCUGCCUUUGAGCGGGGACCAAAAUUGGAAACGAAAGCUUAAUCCGCCUUAAAAACUUUAAACACAAUUUUAAGGUUGAAAGAAUCAAAUUCAAUAACUAAAGAAUGAUCCGCGUUGUAUUAGGUAGUUGGUGAGGUAAAGGCUCACCAAGGCGAUGAUACAUAGCCGACCUGAGAGGGUGAUCGGCCACAUUGGGACUGAGACACGGCCCAAACUCCUACGGGAGGCAGCAGUAGGGAAUCUUCGGCAAUGGACGAAAGUCUGACCGAGCAACGCCGCGUGAGUGAAGAAGGUUUUCGGAUCGUAAAACUCUGUUGGUAGAGAAGAACGUUGGUGAGAGUGGAAAGCUCAUCAAGUGACGGUAACUACCCAGAAAGGGACGGCUAACUACGUG
rnacentral:rRNA from 1 species